rnacentral:rRNA from 1 species
UACGAAGGGAGCUAGCGUUGUUCGGAAUCACUGGGCGUAAAGCGCACGUAGGCGGAUGUGUCAGUCAGGGGUGAAAUCCCGGAGCUCAACUUCGGAACUGCCUUUGAUACAGCACGUCUUGAGUCCGAUAGAGGUGGGUGGAAUUCCUAGUGUAGAGGUGAAAUUCGUAGAUAUCUGGAGGAACACCGGUGGCGAAGGCGGCAUCCUGGACCAACACUGACACUGAGGAGCGAAAGCCAGGGGAGCAAACGGG